rnacentral:rRNA from 1 species
ACGCUGGCGGCAGGCCUAACACAUGCUAGUCGAGCGGUAGAGAGAAGCUUGCUUCUCUUGAGAGCGGCGGACGGGUGAGUAAUGCCUAGGAAUCUGCCUGGUAGUGGGGGAUAACGUCCGGAAACGGACGCUAAUACCGCAUACGUCCUACGGGAGAAAGCAGGGGACCUUCGGGCCUUGCGCUAUCAGAUGAGCCUAGGUCGGAUUAGCUAGUUGGUGGGGUAAUGGCUCACCAAGGCGACGAUCCGUAACUGGUCUGAGAGGAUGAUCAGUCACACUGGAACUGAGACACGGUCCAGACUCCUACGGGAGGCAGCAGUGGGGAAUAUUGGACAAUGGGCGAAAGCCUGAUCCAGCCAUGCCGCGUGUGUGAAGAAGGUCUUCGGAUUGUAAAGCACUUUAAGUUGGGAGGAAGGGCAGUAAAUUAAUACUUUGCUGUUUUGACGUUACCGACAGAAUAAGCACCGGCUAACUCUGUGCCAGCAGCCGCGGUAAUACAGAGGGUGCAAGCGUUAAUCGGAAUUACUGGGCGUAAAGCGCGCGUAGGUGGUUCGUUAAGUUGGAUGUGAAAUCCCCGGGCUCAACCUGGGAACUGCAUUCAAAACUGACGAGCUAGAGUAUGGUAGAGGGUGGUGGAAUUUCCUGUGUAGCGGUGAAAUGCGUAGAUAUAGGAAGGAACACCAGUGGCGAAGGCGACCACCUGGACUGAUACUGACACUGAGGUGCGAAAGCGUGGGGAGCAAAC